rnacentral:rRNA from 1 species
AUUGAACGCUGGCGGCAGGCCUAACACAUGCAAGUCGAGCGGAGCGGCGGACGGGUGAGUAAUGCCUAGGAAUCUGCCUGGUAGUGGGGGAUAACGUCCGGAAACGGGCGCUAAUACCGCAUACUAUCAGAUGAGCCUAGGUCGGAUUAGCUAGUUGUUGGGGUAAAGGCCUACCAAGGCGACGAUCCGUAACUGGUCUGAGAGGAUGAUCAGGCAUAAUGGAACUGAGAAAGGGUCCAGACUCCUACGGGAGGCAGCAGUGGGGAAGAUUGGACAAUGGGCGAAAGCCUGAGCCAGCCAUGCCGCGUGAGUGAAGAAGGUCUUCGGAUGGGAAAGCACGUUAAGUUGGGAGGCGUUACAAACAGAAUAAGCACCGGCUAACUUCGUGCCAGAAGCAGCGGUAAUAC